UGGCUUUUAGCAGGGAUUACCUUCCCGAAGGGAAACUGCAUCUUUGAUAGAGGGUUUUCUGACUGCAUUGGAUGUCAGAGGGUGUUUACGCAGUGUGGAGCAGCGUGGUGCAGUAAAGAAUCUGCAAGAGCUUCCAUCAUCCAUCGGUAGAAGAAUUAAACCUCACUGGACUCCGGCUAGCUAGCAAAGACUCCAGUACUGGGCAGAUUGCGCUUGCUUUUUUCCCCCCAGAAACUGUCUUACAGACCAAAAUACUGGGCCAAGUGAAGGUGAUGCUACGAAUUUACUGCUGCACAUAUUGUGUAAUAUACACAAACUCUCUCUCUCUCUACGAUUAUAAUCUGUGUUCAUUGCUAGGAGGAUGUUGUUUAGAGGUCUGUCUGAUUGUAUCGGGCACUGUACAAACGUAUAAUUAAUCUCAUUUUAAGAAAUGCUUAGCUCCAAAUUGAGUGUAGGAAUAUAGGGUUAUUAGUUUCUAGAAUGUUUUUAUUAUGCACUUUCUAGUUUGAUUGACAACUAUUACUAUUUUAAGAUGACAGAACUAAAACUUAUGCUGCUUGAUAGCAUCAAAUAUAUUGUAUGCUAAGUAAACAGAAGCAUGUGAGCAGGAUAAUAUUUAUUAUAUGGUUAUAUAGCAGCUCAGUAAGACACUAGAGGGGAAUUAUUCUCCAAGAAGGAUAUUUGAUAUUUUACGCUCUUUAGAAAUACAAAUAUUUUAGAAAUGCAAACAUAGAACUGAACUUUGCACCCUGUUUCUUCAGGGGAAGCCUGCAGGUUGGUUGGCUGUCCUGGCCGGAUUAUUCUGAAGUGCUUCUUUUCAUGUUCUUCCCUUCUUUGAGUAACUGUGAAGGAGAGGAAUAGGAUGAGAUCCCUCCAAUAUGAAUUUUAUAACUCUUCUACUUCCCUGUUAUGUUUGAGAGCAGAGCCUUGCAGCUCCUAUUAAAAUGUGUGGUGAACAGUUCGUAGACACUCCUUGUCCCUGAGAGCCCGGCCAUCCAGGCAGAUGGAGGACAGGAGGGGAGAGAGGCACAGUCAGAAGCGUUGUGGGGUGCAGCAGGAGAAGGAUGGAGCCAUUGCUGCCAAGUCAGGGGGCAGUUUUUCAGUUGGCACACAAAAAAAUCAAUAAUAAUGUUAACUGAGUAAAUAUGAAUUUUGUUUCCAGGACAAAAAGAAUAGUUAGCAUGAAGAAUGUGUAAAUUUCCUGUGUAUUUCUAGUGAAUAUUUAAUAUAAUGCAAUUAGAGGCUGGCUAAGAAUUAUAAGGC
ensembl:lncRNA